GAUGAACGCUAGCUACAGGCUUAACACAUGCAAGUCGAGGGGUCUUUUGGAGCUUGCUAUAAAAGACGACCGGCGCACGGGUGAGUAACGCGUAUCCAACCUGCCCUUCAUAUUGGGAUAGCCUUCCGAAAGGAAGAUUAAUACCGAAUAACAUGAUAGAGUUGCCUGAUUUUAUCAUGAAAGCUCCGGCGAUGAAGGAUGGGGAUGCGUUCCAUUAGGUUGUAGGCGGGGUAACGGCCCACCUAGCCGACGAUGGAUAGGGGUUCUGAGAGGAAGGUCCCCCACACUGGAACUGAGACACGGUCCAGACUCCUACGGGAGGCAGCAGUGAGGAAUAUUGGUCAAUGGGCGCAAGCCUGAACCAGCCAAGUAGCGUGAAGGAUGACUGCCCUAUGGGUUGUAAACUUCUUUUAUACGGGAACAAACCCCGGUACGUGUACCGGAUUGCGUGUACCGUAUGAAUAAGCAUCGGCUAACUCCGUGCCAGCCGCCGCCGUAACAC
rnacentral:rRNA from 1 species